UAACCUGCUUGUUUGUUUGAAUGUAUUCCAACCUCCUCCUCAGUUCUACCUUCCGAACCAGCCUGGGUUAGCUGCACGCCAGUCUCUCUGAGAAUUCCUGUAUGCCCAGGUGACCUAUUAUGUACAAAUCCCAUGUUGGGAAUAGUUCAGGAAAGCUGCUGUGUUCUCUCCAUCAUGAACUUCUAAUUGCUCAAACAAUAUUAAACCCUGGAAUUUCCUGAGAUGAAAACACUUGGAUUUCCUGGAACCAAUAUCAAAAUUCUCCAAAGAGAUAAGGAGCUGCCGAUUUUGUAAGGAACACAGUGCUUCUGCCCUCCCCAAAACCUCCUCACAGCUACAGCUUCAAGAAUAAACCUUAAUAGUGAGAACCCAACGGACACUGGUCCACAUCCAAAGCCACAGUGACAUGCUUCAGAAAACCAAUCACUGAGACAACACAGAAAUUACUAAUUAUGGAUGAACCGUGAUCAUAGUAAGGUGAAACAUGAAAAGUAGUACAAGCAAGCACCAGACGCGUCUCUAGAAAAUCCAAGAUAGCUUUGUUGUUGUAGUGACAUUACGGGUAAGAGCUUUCUAUCUUUAAAAUGCUUUUCAAUUUGGUUCAUACAUCUCCUUUCAGGAGAGUUCAUUUAUCAUGAACUAGUGAGACAGAGCAUGACACACAUGUAUGAAGACACACAUGCAUACUGCUGAGUUCAGUCCAGUUGUGUUUUCUUUAUGUCUCCAGAUAAUUAGCA